CUGGUGGCUCAGUGGUUAAAGUGCUCAGCUGCCAACCGAAAGGUCGGCGGUUCAAACCCCCGCCAG
rnacentral:tRNA from 1 species